rnacentral:rRNA from 1 species
AUAACAGCUGGAAACGGCUGCUAAUACCGCAUGAGCGCACAGAGCGGCAUGGCUCGGUGUGAAAAACUCCGGUGGUAUGGGAUGGGCCCGCGUCUGAUUAGGCAGUUGGCGGGGUAACGGCCCACCAAACCGACGAUCAGUAGCCGGCCUGAGAGGGCGACCGGCCACAUUGGGACUGAGACACGGCCCAAACUCCUACGGGAGGCAGCAGUGGGGAAUAUUGCACAAUGGGGGAAACCCUGAUGCAGCGACGCCGCGUGAGCGAAGAAGUAUUUCGGUAUGUAAAGCUCUAUCAGCAGGGAAGAUAAUGACGGUACCUGACUAAGAAGCCCCGGCUAACUACGUGCCAGCAGCCGCGGUAAUACGUAGGGGGCAAGCGUUAUCCGGAUUUACUGGGUGUAAAGGGAGCGUAG